UACGUAGGGGGCAAGCGUUGUCCGGAAUUAUUGGGCGUAAAGAGCUCGUAGGCGGUCUGUCGCGUCGGCUGUGAAAUCCCGAGGCUCAACCUCGGGUCUGCAGUCGAUACGGGCAAACUAGAGUAUUGCAGGGGAGACUGGAAUUCCCGGUGUAGCGGUGAAAUGCGCAGAUAUCGGGAGGAACACCCGUAGCGAAGGCGGCACUCUGGGCCGGAACUGACGCUGAGGAGCGAAAGCGUGGGGAGCAAACAGG
rnacentral:rRNA from 1 species